rnacentral:lncRNA from 1 species
GUCCUACUUGAUUUGGGUUUCCUAUUGGAUAGGGCUUAACCAAAUUAGAGCAAGCUUGUUUGGACACCAAGAGUUGGAGUCCUAGAAGCCAUCAAUGUAAGAAUUAAAGGAUGGGGGUGCCAAUAGUUGGAGCCUCACAUUUUUCUUCGUGAAACAUUGAGAGAGAAAAGAUGGGAUGCUCUUAAUUGAUAAGAUCAAAAGAGGUGCCACUU